UUCUCAUUCACCUGAAACUGAAGACGAGAAGAAAAGAAAUAAGAGCAGCGGCUGCUGCUUAUUCAGAUCGAGAAAUAGGCAGAGAUUGAGAGAUGAAAGAUAGAGAUUAAGAAUGAAUUGAAAAAAAUUGAUGAUCAUGAUGGUGUUCGAUUAAAAAGUUGAUGGUCUUAUGGAUGAUGUUUCUAUCGGUGUUUGCAGAUGAAACUGAAGAGGAAAUCGAAGCUGAAAUUGAUAUGAGUUUUUCGAGAUAAGGGUUAUUGAGAACUGAGAUUGAUGAUUAAGUCAAAAGAAUUGAAAAUUUUCAGAAUCUAGGGUUUGGUUUUGGGAAGAGCAGCUGAGACUGUUUCUGAGGUAAGUAGGAGAAUGGAUUAGUUGAAGAUGAGGGUUUGAAAGUUCUUGGAUGAUGAUAAGAGUUGGGUUGAGCUCCAUUUGCAACCUGAUGGAGAAAUCAAUUGAGAAAAAAUAUUCCAGCAUAUGAAGAACUUAUUAAUUGCUUCUUAAGAAAAUAUAUAAUGCAUGAGGGGUGAUGUAAUUGUGUAGUUAAUGCAGUUUCAAGGUGGUUGGUGAGAAUCCAAAAUUGAGUAGCCGGUACCAAGGUGAUGUAGUUCCUUAUAUUGACUAUGCAUUCUGUAAAUACAUCAGACUAACAUGAAAUUCUUAAUGUAGGUUCCCAGUUCAAUAUCAUUUAAGGAUCUUACUAUCUCAAUCAUUUUUGUGGCAUUAUACUCAACUGGCCAUGAUGGAAGAGGUAGACAACCUGUACACAAUCUAUUUUGGAAGCAAUUUUUACAGGAAUAUGUAGUAUCAUACUCAACCAAGGCGUUUUCCCUGAGUCCUUUAGGGAUGGUAAAAUGUCUUGGAUGUUGCCGCAUUGGACAAAAUGAUUACCAGAUACUUGAGUCCUUUAGGGUAUGCCAAGAUCUAGACUGGUUCUGUUUCAGUUAUUUUGGGCUUUGCUGUAGUUUAUGACUUUAACGGGAGUGUGUUCGAUCUAUAUUGUUUUUAUUUUAUUGUCGCAGCUAUACAUAGAUUAGAAAUGAUAGGAUAAAAAAAUAUAAAAAAUCACACAUUUGUUGAGUCGAAAGAGAUGACGGGAGCUGCGAUUUGCUGUAGUUUAUGGCUUCAAUGGGAGCCUGUUCGACCCAGAAAUAAAUGGUUAUAUACAUUAGCACAAGAUCUCUCAUUGGUCUGCAAUGAACAGUUUAAAGGAAAACCGUUCUCCUCAGUCCUCAUGGAGAUCACAUUCCAUGGAAUUUUUGGGAUCAUAUGUUUCCAAGUCUUCCAGGCGCUCAGAUUGUGUGCACUGUUAUCCAUAUCGCUGUGCCAUAAAGAUAUGAUUUCAUAGGGAUCGCGCCGUUGCACCCGGCUACCCACAGUAUUGCAAGACAUAAACACUAUCAUGCUCGGAUUGUUGUUGUUGCUUGGAUUUUGUUCAAAUUUAUCAAACUACCUGCAAGUCCAGAUUUAAUGAGUUGAUGUGACUCAUGCAUACUCACACAAAAAAGAAACACAGUAUAUUCUGACAUGCCUGCUAAGGAUUCAAGCCAGCAAAGUUGAGUUCAAAUUAGUGACCAAAAUAAGAUUUGUCUAUGUAUCUUUCUAGGCAAAAUAAACUUCAUUUUAUGUUUGUGUAUUAUGCACACAUCCCAAUCUGUAAAGUAUACAGAUUGUGUUACGAAGAUAUAUAAAUUUGGAUAUUGAAAGAUCCAAAGUCUGUUGUUAUUGAAGAAAGCUGUAGCUCUAUAAUGCUACAAAAUGAUGCAGGAAAUGCAGGACUAUCAAUUUCAUGUGUAUUUCAGUUGCUAAAGUGCAUAUUCAAGUAGUUGGCCACGUUGAUUGCACACAAGGUGUCAGGUUGUCGAGAUCUCUGCCUUGGGACCACUCUUACUUGAGACAUAAACUAAAGGAGGUUCAUUUAAUCAAUAUCAAAAUG